CCCUUAGAUGUCCUGGGCCGCACGCGCGCUACACUGAGUGUCUGAGAUAUGAGGCAUGCCUGGUCCGGCAAGGUCUAGGUAAUCACGAAAAGGCACAUCAUGCUUGGGAUUGAUUAUUGCAAAUUUUAAUCAUGAACGAGGAAUUCCUAGUAAGUGCAAGUCAACAGCUUGCGUUGAUUACGUCCCUGCCCUUUGUACACACCGCCCGUCGCUACUACUGAUUGGAUGGCUUAGUGAGGCCUCCGGAUUGGCUUUGGGGAGCCGGCAACGGCACCUCAUGGCUGAGAAGUUGGUCAAACUUGGUCAUUUAGAGGAAGUAAAAGUCGUAACA
rnacentral:rRNA from 1 species